CUACCCGGACCUAAAUAAUCGCUGCACACGGAACAGGCAUGGCGUCCUUCACGUACACGCACAAGUGACAAACAUUAUUAAUUCUUCCUUCUUUAUCAAAAACUGUUUUGUUGUUUUUAUUUAUUUGUGGAUACUUCGUUAAAAAUGGCGGCCAGGACCGUGCGUCACCUUCUCCAACGACGCUUUGCAUCUGCAGCAGCUGCUGUGCGUCCUCCGGCUGCUGAGGUUCGCCGCCAUCGUGACGCCGUCUUCUCCAGAGAGCAGGCCCGACAGAGAGCUCUGUAUCCCCGCAUUGAGAAGAUCGAGGUGAACGUGGAGGGCCCCGGGUUGGAGGGGACUCUGCUCGUCAUGAAUAAAGGGAUGUCCACUCCGCUCAGCUGUGCCAGACACUUGACCGAGUACCAUGUCACCAACUCUGUGAUGGCCCUGGUCAACGGGGAGCUGUGGCCUCUUCAUCAGCCCCUCACUGAGUCCUGCUCCUUAACCCUGCUCACAUUUAAAGACAACAACCCGACGAUGGUCAACCAGGCGUUUUGGCGUUCCUGUUCCUCCUUGCUUGGUCAGGUUCUGGAGACUGCGUUCAAAGACGACUAUACUGUAGAGCUGCUCAGCACGCCGGAAGUGCCAGUCACUUCUGGAGCUUUCUGCUGUGACGUUGUGCUCGAUCCUCAGCUCGACUCAUGGACUCCAUCUGAGGAAUCAUUGCGCUCCUUAACUCGAGGAGCCCAGCAGCUGAUCCAUCAGGACUUGGCGUGGGAGCCUCUGGAGGUGACGAUCCCUGUGGCACUGGAAGUCUUUUCACACAGCAGGUUUAAACAGGAGGAGGUUGAACAGAAGGCAGAAGAGAGUCCCAGAGGCACAGUGAUGCUCUACAGAUGUGGGGACCAUGUGCUUCUCACAGGGGGCCCCCUAGUGGCAAGAACAGGCCUGUGCUCUCAAUAUGAGUUUACAGCUCUUCACAACCUGGGACAGGGGCCCUUGGGCCUGCACCGUAGGGCCCAAGGACUCUCGCUGCCUUUGCAGCUGCAGGCUCACCACACAGUCUGGAGGAAACUGAGGCAGCGGGCAGUGAAACUGCGCCCCCAGUAAUCCGGAGCGGCGCUGGAAAUGUCUUGGACAGAGAAAAAAACAACGUUGCAGAUGAACGCCACACAGUCAGGAAGUCACUCACUCCUGGCUUCAGUGGAACUAAAGAAAAUUUCACCUCCAUGACCAGAGGUUGAGGUGCCCAAGACUGAAGAAGCAACUCCACACUCUCCUCCUGUCUCUGACCAGCCUGCAACAUCCUCUGCAUAACCUUCCACACACUUUGUCAUGUACUAGACUGUAUUAUUUGUUCAAUAAAUGUGUAAAAAUCUC